AAUCAACGCUGGCGGCGUGCCUCAGACAUGCAAGUCGAACGAUUAAAGCUCUCUUCGGAGAGUGCAUAGAGUGGCGCACGGGUGAGUAACACGUAAGUAAUCUACCUUCGAGUGGGGAAUAACAACCGGAAACGGUUGCUAAUACCGCAUAAUGCAGCGGCAUCGCAAGAUGACAGUUGUUAAAGGAGCAAUUCGCUUGAAGAGGAGCUUGCGGCAGAUUAGCUAGUUGGUAAGGUAAUGGCUUACCAAGGCUACGAUCUGUAACCGGUCUUAGAGGACGGUCGGUCACACUGACACUGAACAACGGGUCAGACUCCUACGGGAGGCAGCAGUCGGGAAUUUUGGGCAAUGGGCGAAAGCCUGACCCAGCAACGCCGCGUGAAGGAUGAAGUAUUUCGGUAUGUAAACUUCGAAAGAAUGGGAAGAAUAAAUGACGGUACCAUUUAUAAGGUCCGGCUAACUACGUGCCAGCAGCCGCGGUAAUUCUCG
rnacentral:rRNA from 1 species